rnacentral:rRNA from 1 species
AGAUUGAACGCUGGCGGCAUGCUUUACACAUGCAAGUCGAACGGUAACAGGCCGCAAGGUGCUGACGAGUGGCGAACGGGUGAGUAAUGCAUCGGAACGUGCCCAGUCGUGGGGGAUAACGCAGCGAAAGCUGUGCUAAUACCGCAUACGAUCUAUGGAUGAAAGCGGGGGACCGAAAGGCCUCGCGCGAUUGGAGCGGCCGAUGUCAGAUUAGCUAGGUUGGUGGGGUAAGGCCCACCAAGGCGACGAUCUGUAGCUGGUCUGGAGAGGACGACCAGCCACACUGGAACUGAGACACGGUCCAGACUCCGUACGGGAGGCAGCAGUGGGGUAAUUUUGGACAAGUGGGCGCGAAGCCUGAUCCAGCAAUCGCCGCGUGCGAGGAAGAAGGCCGUUCGGGUUAGUAAC